rnacentral:rRNA from 1 species
UACGUAGGGGGCGAGCGUUGUCCGGAUUUAUUGGGCGUAAAGAGCGUGUAGGCGGCCAGGUAGGUCUGCUGUGAAAACUCGAGGCUCAACCUCGAGACGUCGGCGGAAACCAUCUGGCUAGAGUCCGGAAGAGGAGAGUGGAAUUCCCGGUGUAGCGGUGAAAUGCGUAGAUAUCAGGAGGAACACCGGUGGUGUAGACGGCUCUCUGGACCGUAACUGACGCUGAGACACGAAAGCGUGGGUAGCAAACAGG